rnacentral:rRNA from 1 species
AUUGACAGCUGGCGGCAGGCCUAACACAUGCAAGUAGAGCGGAGUGGCGGACGGGUGAGUAACGCCUAGGAAUCAGCCUGGGAGUGGGGGAUAACGUCCGGAAACGGGGGGCAAUACCGCAUACUAUAAGAGAAGCCGAGGUCGGAGUAGCUAGUUGGUGGGGUAAAGGCCUACCAAGGCGACGAUCCGUAACUGGUCUGAGAGGAUGAUCAGUCACACUGUAACUUAGACACGGUCCAGACUCCUACGGGAGGCAGCAGUGGGGAAUAUUGGACAAUGGGCGAAAGCCUGAUCCAGCCAUGCCGCGUGUGUGAAGAAGGUCUUCGGAUUGUAAAGCACUUUAAGUUGGGAGGCGUUACCAACAGAAUAAGCACCGGCUAACUUCGUGCCAGCAGCCGCGGUAAUUC